ACGGAAGGCAGCAGUGGGGAAUAUUGCACAAUGGGGGAAACCCUGAUGCAGCGACGCCGCGUGAGUGAAGAAGUAUUUCGGUAUGUAAAGCUCUAUCAGCAGGGAAGAAAAUGACGGUACCUGACUAAGAAGCCCCGGCUAACUACGUGCCAGCAGCCGCGGUAAUACGUAGGGGGCAAGCGUUAUCCGGAUUUACUGGGUGUAAAGGGAGCGCAGACGGCUUUGCAAGUCUGAUGUGAAAGGCAGGGGCUCAACUCCUGGACUGCAUUGGAAACUGUAGGGCUAGAGUGUCGGAGAGGUAAGCGGAAUUCCUAGUGUAGCGGUGAAAUGCGUAGAUAUUAGGAGGAACACCAGUGGCGAAGGCGGCUUACUGGACGAUGACUGACGUUGAGGCUCGAAAGCGUGGGGAGCAAACAGGAUUAGAUACCCUGGUA
rnacentral:rRNA from 2 species